CGCCAACAGAUUCCUGCAGCGCAAAUGAGGUCUGCUGGGCUCCGCUACCUGUCUUCACCACUUCCUCUACUAAGCUGUUGCUGCAAUUAGCUGAGAAUGUCAGUUCGUUAGGUGAGAGCACUUAGCUCAGACAGCGAGAGUUCCGGCUCUCCAUUGGCAGUAGUAGGGGUGGAAAGUGGCAUUCAGAAGAACCCAAGUAAGAAGUAAAAUCUUUCUAAAAUGGUACGGCUACUUAAAAAUUUUUUGAAAACGUAUAUGGCAUUUAUUUUAUUUACUUUUUCUUAUUUUUAAUAUUGGGAGGAUCCAUUCAAUCUUUUUCCUUUUCUUCCCCCAACCCUGGAAAAUUCUGUGUUUUUUAAGAAUCUUAAUUUUGGUGACCCAAUCCCCAUUGUUCUACAUUGCUGCAUUUUGCUUGAAUAGUUAAGGAACAGAACUCAUCUUUAUAGGAUCCUGGCUUCAUUACAUUUGGAGUCUAAAAAAGACAAAAUUAAUUCACCUACAUUUUGCAUAUUUAAACUUAUAAUUUUAUUUUUGCAUUUUCUAGAGAUAUACAAUUAUUAUACUUUCCUGCAAUAAAUGUUUUUUAACCCACAACCAUGGAUGAGGUUAAAUUAACAGCUUGCAUUUGAGUAUUUUAGGGAUGCUAUUGGCCAGUGUCACAACUUACCAACACAAAGGGGGAGAUAAGGUGUCUUCAGUUUUCAGCUGUAACAAAAAAAAUAAAGUUUAAAAUAAC